AUGAUGAUAUGUGUAGCCAUCCUCCCUGGCGCUGCAAUCUGUGAGUAUGUUGGUGCAUUGCCGAGGACUGGAGAGAAAAGGUCAGGGUCUGAUAUGCAUAUGCCAUCACUUCAUGUUGAGAACAAUUCCGAGGCACCAUCGGCACCGGAGUACUGCAUCGAUGCUGGAUCCGUUGGAAGUUUCGCAAGGUUCAUAAACCACAGCUGCAACCCUAACCUCUUUGCCCAGUGUGUCCUAACCAAUCACCACGACAUCAAGCUAGAAAAGGUGAUGCUUUUUGCUGCCGACACGGUACUUCCACUUCAGGUGAAUUGA
rnacentral:rRNA from 1 species